GACUCGGUAGCUUAGUUGGCUUAGCACUUGUCUAGCGAAUCAGGGUCGUGAGUUCAAAUCUCACCUGAGCUG
rnacentral:tRNA from 1 species